rfam:Serratia symbiotica genome assembly, type strain CWBI-2.3T, contig: SYMBAF_Contig_16
CUGGUCACUUUAUCGUUGACUUCACGGGUAUGUGUUCACUUUAGUAUAACCAGUUUGUAACACCCCUAAUAACAAUGGCAUUAACGCUUCCCGCUUUAUCGGGGGAUAAUGUCAGAUGAAACAAUGUGACAAUGAAAGUUAAGGAGAUCCCCAUGCAAGUCAGCAGAAGGCAUUUCUUUAAG